rnacentral:lncRNA from 1 species
AGGAAGCAUGCAGGAAGGGAAGAUAUAAAUCUUACAUUCUUUUAUCUAAGCCACCGUUUGGUUCGGGAUUAAGAAAAAAUAGCUAUUUCAGAGAUAGGGUUAAGUUCAGGGUUAAAAUGGUGUUAAAAUUUUUUUAUGUUUGGUUGGAGGUUGGAGUUAGUUUAGGAUAGUGAAAAAAAGUGUUUGGUUGGAAUAGGUGGGAUAAGAAAAUAAUGAUUGAUAAAGAAGAAAAAGGUGAGGGCUCGUAAUGCGUGUGGGGUUAAAGUUGGGAGGGGGAGUAGGAUUAGUAAACCCCACUAACCCGAUUUGGGGUGGAGUUUACUAACCCCACCCCUUAAGAGUGGUGUUUGGG